AGUCGCGAUAGUUUAAUUCUUAAAACGCUGUCUUGUAAACCGGAAACUGCAGACUAGUCCCUGCUCGUGACUA
rnacentral:tRNA from 1 species